AACUUUGACAUGAUGAUUUCAUAGUUCAUCUGAGUAACUUUGAUGUAUACUGCAUUGUCUUUCGCUCCUAUCUGAAUUAUGUUU